rnacentral:rRNA from 1 species
GGGUGUAAAGUGAGCGUAGGUGGGUUGAUAAGUCAGUGGUGAAAUCUUCGAGCUUAACUCGGAAACUGCCGUUGAUACUAUCAGUCUUGAAUAUUGUGGAGGUUAGCGGAAUAUGUCAUGUAGCGGUGAAAUGCUUAGAUAUGACAUAGAACACCAAUUGCGAAGGCAGCUGGCUACACAUAUAUUGACACUGAGGCUCGAAAGCGUGGGGAUCAAACAGGAUUAGAUACCCUGGUAGUCCACGCCCUAAACUAUGGAUACUCGACAUACGCGAUACACUGUGUGUGUCUGAGCGAAAGCAUUAAGUAUCCCACCUGGGAAGUACGACCGCAAGGUUGAAACU